rnacentral:lncRNA from 1 species
CUGAAGUAUGUCGGGGUCUGGAUGUAUUCGCCUGCGGUGACUGCUGGGACUUGGGACAGUCAGACAUCUCUAGCCAUCGCAGUCGGCUUUCCCCGCAGCUCCCUGGGGCUAUGCCACAGCUCUGUUCCAUUGAUGCGCGCACAGAAGCCUGAGUGGUCCGCUCCAGGGCAGACCCACAUCGGAGCUGUGACUCAAAGCCAGGAAACCCGGCCCUCUGUGCUGGCCCCGUUGCGGAGACCCGUGGCUGAUGAGACCGACCCCGGGUCUUCAGCCUUGAGCCGGUUCUCAGCGCUGGUCGCCACUGCAGAUACCAGUAACGCUGCCUCCAGAAUAGUCCUUCGUGGUGACAACGCUGUGAAUGGUGACAGAGUACAAGACCCUGCACACGCCUCACCACACCUUGGACACUGA